rnacentral:rRNA from 1 species
UACUUUAAGUCAGAUUUAACAGCCCGGGGUUCAACCUGGGAAGUGCAUUUGAAACUGUUGAUCCAGAAUACCGUAGAGGAGGGUAGAAUUUCCGAGGUAGCGUUGAAUUGCGUAGAGAUCUGAAGGAAUACCAGUGGCGAUGGCGGCCCCCCGGACAGAUAUUGACAUUCAGAUGUGAUAGCGUGGGGAGCAAUCAGGAUAAGAUACCCUGGUAGUCCACGCCGUAAUCGAGGUCUACUCGGAGAUUGUGGCCCUGAGCCGCGGCUUCUCGGAGCUACCGCGUUAAGUAGACGGCCUGGGGAGUACGGUCGCAAGAUUAAAUCUCAAAUGAAUUGACGCGGGCCUGCACAAGCGGUGGAGCAUGUGGUUUAAUUCGAUGCAACGCGAAGAACCUCACCUACUCUUGACAUCCAGAGAAGCCAGCGGAGACGCAGGUGUGCCUCCAGGAGCUGUGAGACAGAUGCUGCAUGGCUGUCGUCAGCUCAUGUUGUGAAAUGUUGGGUUAAGUCCCGCAACGAGCGCAACCCUGAUCCUUGUUUGCCAGCGAGUAAUGUCGGGAACUCCAGGGAGACUGCCGGUGAUAAAUCGGAGGAAGGUGGCGACGACGUCAAGUCAUCAUGGCCUCUUACGAGUAGGGCUACACACGUGCUACAAUGGCGCAUACAGAGGGCAGCAAGCUAGCGAUAGUGAGCGAAUCCCAAAAAGUGCGUCGUAGUCCGGAUUGGAGUCUGCAACUCGACUCCAUGAAGUCGGAAUCGCUAGUAAUCGUGAAUCAGAAUGUCACGGUGAAUACGUUCCCGGCCCUAGUACACACCGCCCGUCACACCAUGGGAGUGGGCUGCAAAAGAAGUGGGUAGUUUAACCUUUCGGGGA